rfam:Schistosoma mansoni, Puerto Rico, WGS project CABG01000000 data, contig: 0196
AUACUGCUGAGGAGUCCCACACUAGGACGAAACGGUCGUCCAGUGAU